GAUCACGGUGCAACCAGCUUUACGAUUUGAUGAGCCUUCUGAAAGAUCCCGAUUUCGCGUACGGCGCAUAUGUGCAUGCGCAAAUGAAUCAGACUUUAUUAUUUUCGAUUUUAGAAUAUUUUUCAUUCAGAAGGCUUAGCUACGGGUAUACCCAUAUAUGCAUAUAAACAGAUGUUCCACCUAUUAUUAAUAGCAGUUGAAACUCUCAAAUUAUGUCCCGCUGUCUUGAAGUAAAAACGGUGAAAAAUACAACACAGAAUGGUCUCUGUGGGAGCAAAUCUGAUCAUAGAUUUGCAAAAUCGGGAUACACUAUAAAAACCAUAAUCACCAGGAUAUUCAGGAAGUUGCAAUAGUUAGACGAGGAAAGGCAAUGCCAAAAAGAGCCAUUGUAGGGCUUCUAUGACUGGAAGAGGAGGAAGUUCUCAAACCGCAGACACAGCUCGAAUUCUAUGAAAGAAAAAGAAGAAACCUGCAUACACAAGGACGUUGACGUGCAGUUAGUUCGAAAUUAAAUUCUGUUUUUGUUUUUCAAUUUCAUUUAUGUUUCAUAAAAACAUUUCAGUUUUGUAAAUUUGAAAAUUUCUAAAUGUACAAAAAAAAAAAAAAAAAAAAAAAAAAAUUUAUCCAGUUCAAAUAUUAUUUCAAAUAUUAUUUGAAAUAUUAUUCUGAAACCAGUAGGAUUGUAAAAAUAAUAAAUUGCCAUUCUAAUACAUGUUGCCAUCGGUAAAAUACCUUGUUCCUUCUCUUCGCAUUUUGAGGUCAGAUCCCCACCGAUAUUAACUUUGCUUUUCACUUUUCGUGAGUGGUUGAAAUAAAGUGCCAGUUCCGUAUUAGGAUCGAUACGAGCUGGCAGAAACGAUAGCACGCCAGGCGAAAUGCUUAGCGGUAUUUCAUCUGCCGUUACGUUCUGAGUUCAAAUUCCGCCGAGGUUGAUUUCGCUUUUCAUCUUUUCGGGGUCGAUGUAAUCGACUUAAUUAAGUACCAGUUACUUAAUUAAGUACCAGUUACGCACUGGGGUCGAUGUAAUCGACUUAAUCCCUUUGUUUAGCCCCUUGUGGGCAAUAAAGAAAUAAUUAACUAUACCUCUGCACACAAAUUUAAUGGCCAAAUCAGAAAUUAUUAUUUCUUUUUAUCACAGGUUUUGUUGGAGCUACUGGAGUCUUGCAUGCGUAGCGGGCUUGCUACCUGCAGCCUAUAGUAGCAUGCUACCCGUUCUUUUCAGCUAUCUAAUACUUUCUUGAUUAUUCUGGCCGUGCCAAGGAGGCAAUUAUUACUAUUAUUAUGUUGUUUUUUUUUUGCUUCUUUCUUCAAAUUUUCUUCCAUUUCUCGCCGAGUGUUUUCCGUACACCUAGGGCAGAGAAACUCACCGCAUGCAUUCCCAGCUUACACACGCAAAUUCACAGGUAAAAUAUGUAUUAAAAAAAAAAAAUUUUUUUAAAAAUUCAUGAAUGGAUGUUGUUUUCUUUGAUUCUUUGGUUGUCCCUGGGUAGUACUAUCUGCUAUUGGGACAUUUUGCGAACAAUUUUCUUGUUAGUUCUUACUGUUUUGUUUACACUUGUACGUGUAACCCCGCACUUUGUAUUGUCCUAAAUGUGUUUUUUGCGGCCCUUGUGCCU